CCCUUAGAUGUCUGGGGCUGCACGCGCGCUACACUGAAGGAAUCAGCGUGCUAAAACCAUUGUCGAAAGGCAUUGGUAAACCCAUUAAAAUCCUACGUGAUUGGGAUCGGGAAUUGCAAUUAUUUCCCUUGAACGAGGAAUUCCCAGUAAGUGUGGGUCAUAAGCUCGCGUUGAUUACGUCCCUGCCCUUUGUACACACCGCCCGUCGCUGCCCGGGACUGAGCCGUUUCGAGAAAAGCGGGGACUGCUGCUGUCGGGGCUUUCGGGCCUUGGCUUCGGUGGAAACCGCUUUAAUCGCAGUGGCUUGAACCGGGCAAAAGUCGUAACA
rnacentral:rRNA from 1 species